rnacentral:lncRNA from 1 species
UUUCCUUCCUAUAGGAGAAACACACAUAAAAGAGAAAAAGAAAUAAGCAAAUGAGAUAAUUUCAGUGUUUCUUAAUUGCACGAUAGCCCAUAGAUUGAAAAUACAUAGGUUAUUUUCAAAGAUGUGAUGGUAAGUCGAAAUGAUUUUAAAAUUUGAAUUUAUUUGCUGCUGAUGGCUUUUAUGGGAGAGAAUAGACUUGAACAAUUUUAUAGGCUUUGGAGUCUAACAAAGACAUAAAAUGUCAUCUAGUUGGGUUUUUUUUUGGGGGGGGGGAAUCAGCCUUUAAAUUCUCCUUAUGAUUGUUUUUUCUUACUUUAGAGGAACCCACAGUAAUUGAUUUAUAUCAUUUCACAUCUUAUAUCCAUGAGGAGAAAAUGGUGCCCUUCUCUCAAAAGAAGUUUAAAGCUAUGUUUUCCUUUGUCAAAGCAUUUCUAUAUCUGAACACUGUUCUGUCAUCCUCCUGACAAGCAUCACUGUUGUUAUUGAUGUCAGGAGCAGUUGAUGCAAUCCAGUAUGUCCUCUUCAGUGAUCCGCUUUUGCAGCAGAAGACAAAACCUACCAAGUUGAAUAGUAAAUGUAAUUGUUGUUGCCAAAGGUACUGCAUCUACAUGAAAAUUCUCAUGUUCUUAAUAAGGAUGAGAAAGAAAUGAUAUUGUUGAUUGCUUAGGCAGAAUGAGAGGUGCUUAAAAAAUCUUUUAAAAACUUUAAAUAGAAUGCUCUUUAGUCACUUCUCUUUCUACAAAUGAAAAAAUGAUCUAAAAGCAGUAAAUAAAAUUCUUAACAAAAUAGGGCUUUCAAAAGCAGAAUAGUACUUGCCUCUAAUAAUUUCAAAACUAAAGAAAUCCUUUAAAUUUAUGACACUUAGAUGUAGAUGUUUUCUCUCUGCAUACUGUCCAGAAUUUUUAUUAUUAAAUUUACUAAUUAAUAAGGCCAUUUGUAGCUUUUCACCACCUCAAAAGACCUUCCUCUUUUCCUGCUUGAGAAGAUUCAGCAAUGAGGUUAUGAUUUUUUUGGUCACAGUUGUUACCAUAGCAACAGGGAUGCUAUAAAUUGGUUCACACAAAAUUAAAGCUGACCAAAGCCUUGAGGAUAGUUGUGAGUAACUAAAUCGCUGGUGAUAGAAGAUAAAUGUUUGUUUUCUACUGCUUCUGUUUAUUAUUUGUUAAGUGAAGAGUGAAUUAUUUUUAUCCUUAGGUCUAUUAGCAUAACAUUUUUGUUAUAUUUGCAAAAAUUUGAACUCAUCAAAGCUGUUAGAGAAAUGGAAAUUUUACUUAUUCUAAUUAUGUUAAUUCAUCAUCCUUUUACCUCUUUUCUGCAUCAUUGCUUUAUGCUUAAAAGUCAUUCUUUAUUUUCAUGUUUUUGCUUUUAUUCUUCUUAAAUUAGAAAAUACUAUUGAAAAAAGUUUAAAGGGUAAAGAGUGAAAACAAAGUUUCUUUUUAUUUCUCUGUACUCGUUCAGUUCUUUUCCUCAGAGACAACUAUUACAACCAGGUUUUUAUGAGUUUUGGGGGAGAUUUUCUGUGUCCUUACAUUUCUUUUACCUAAAUGGAUUUAUUUAAGAUACACUGCUCUGGCUUUUUUUUGGUUUUGUUUUUGUUUUUUUUGUCUUUUCAGGGCCACACCCCCUGGGAACCUCCAUAUGCUGAGGGAGCGGCCAUAGAAAAGGCAAAAAGACAAAAAUUAAUUAAUUAAUGAAAUGAAAACAUUAGUUUCUCAGGCACAACUAGCCACAUUUCAAAUGCUCAAUAUCACAUGUGGCUAGUGGCUACUGUAUUGGAUGAUGCAGACCCGAACGUUCCUUAAGCUGCACAAAGCCUGAUGUCACCACUCUUGCUGCUUUAAGACCUAAGGCAGAGAACUUGCAGAGGCACAAGGCCAAGAUGUCAAAGAUUAUAAGAGAUUUCCAAUGCUUCACCAAUAAGUGGACAUUUAAAAAAAAAUCUCUUUAUCAGUGGUAAACAUAAAAAUCAGUUCUUGUCACAACUUCCAAUAGCAUGCAUGGCCACCUAGAAUUUUUCUUUUCUCUUUUUUUUAACAUCAUGAAAGGAUUACCACGAUAAGUUUAGUAUAAACAUUCAUCAUUUCGUAUAGAUACAAAAUAAAAGAAAAAACAAAAUUUUUCUUUCUGAUGAGGAUUCUUAGAAUUUACUCUCUUAACAACUUUCAUAUAUACCAUAGCAAUUAAAUUAUAUUUAUGUUGUUAUACCUUAUAUCCCUAAUACUUAUUGACCUUGGGCUGUAUUCUUGAUGUAUAAAUGAAUCUUGAUUUAUUUAACCAUUCCCUGUAAGUAAUCAUUUAGGGAUUUUUCAUGGUUUUGUCUGUUAAAAGCAAUGCUGCAAUAACAACCUUGUACAUAUAUUUUUAUGAUGCUGUCCCAGAAGUGGAGUUGCUGAAAGGUUAUAUAUAUUUUAAGUUUCGAAAAGUCAUCCUCUCAAAAAUUGCACCAAUUUAUAUCCACCAAAACUGUAUCCCCUCAUAUUUACAAAUACUGCAUAUUAUCAAAUUUUUACAUCUCUGUCAGUCCAAGAGGUAGAAAAUUUUCCUUUUAAUUGUUAUAAACAAUCAUGUGGGAGUCCCUUGUGGCUUAGCGAAUUAAGGAUCCAGCAUUGGCACUUUUUUGGUUCUGGUUACAGCUAUGGUAUGGGCUCUACUCCUGGCCUGAGAACUUCCACAUCCUGCAGGCAUGCCCCCCACCCCCCAAAAAAGUGCAAACAAUCAUGUGUAGGUUUUUGUGAGGACAUGACAUUUUCAUUCCUUUGGGUAAAUACCAGGAAGCCCACUAGCUCAGUUGUGUGCCAAGUAUGUUUACUUUUGUGAGAAACCAUCCUAGCUUUUUUUUUUUUUUUUUUUUUUUUNUUUUUUUGAGGGCCACACCUGCAGCAUAUGGAGGGUCCCAGGCUAGGGGUCUAAUCGGAACUGUAGCCACUGGCCUACACCACAGCCACAGCAACACCAGAUCUGAGCCGUGUCUGCAGCCUACACCACAGCUCACAGCAAUGCCAGACCCUCAACCCACUGACCAAGGCCAGGGAUUGAACCCACAACCUCAUGGUUCCUAGUCAGAUUUGUUUCCGCUGCACCAUGACGGGAACUCCCUAUCCUAGCUUUUUUAAUGCUUUAAUUUUUUUAAAUAGAUUUAAAUAUUAUCUGUCUAGAAUUUGUUUUGAUAGCAUUGAAGAUCCCUCUUUUAAAUUUUGCUUUUACAAAUGAUAAUCCGAUGUCUCAACAUCAUUUGUUGAAUAGCCCAUCUUUUUCCCAUUUAUUUAAAUUGUGGCUUUUAUCACGUAAUAAAUUCCCAUUUACGUCUGGCCCCAUUCCUGGAUUUUCCCUUGUUUGUAUUAAAGAACCGAUAUGUCAAGAUAAACCAUAACAUUAAAAA